ACUCCUGCGGGAGGCAGCAGUGGGGAAUUUUGGACAAUGGGCGCAAGCCUGAUCCAGCCAUGCCGCGUGCGGGAAGAAGGCCUUCGGGUUGUAAACCGCUUUUGUCAGGGAAGAAAAGGUUCUGGCUAAUACCUGGGACUCAUGACGGUACCUGAAGAAUAAGCACCGGCUAACUACGUGCCAGCAGCCGCGGUAAUACGUAGGGUGCAAGCGUUAAUCGGAAUUACUGGGCGUAAAGCGUGCGCAGGCGGUUAUGCAAGACAGAGGUGAAAUCCCCGGGCUCAACCUGGGAACUGCCUUUGUGACUGCAUGGCUAGAGUACGGUAGAGGGGGAUGGAAUUCCGCGUGUAGCAGUGAAAUGCGUAGAAAUGCGGAGGAACACCGAUGGCGAAGGCAAUCCCCUGGACCUGUACUGACGCUCAUGCACGAAAGCGUGGGGAGCAAACAGGAUUAGAUACCCGUGUAGUCCCAUGA
rnacentral:rRNA from 1 species